rnacentral:rRNA from 1 species
GAUGAACGCUGGCGGCGUGCCUAAUACAUGCAAGUCGAGCGAAAAGACGCGUCGCUUGCUCCUCUCACGUUACCGGCGGGCGAGUGAGUAAUAAGCUGCUCACCUCCCUAUAAUACUGGGAUAACUUCGGGAAUCCGGAGCUAAUCCCGGAUACUAUAUUUAACCGCAUGGUUCAAUAGUGAUAGACUGUUUUGCUGUCACUUAUAGAUGGAUUCGCGCCGCAUUAGCUAGUUGGUAAGGUAAAGGCUUACUAAGGCGACGAUGCGUAGCCGACCUGAGAGGGUGAUCGGCCACACUGGAACUGAGACACGGUCCAGACUCCUACGGGAGGCAGCAGUAGGGAAUCUGCCGCAAUGGGCGAAAGCCUGACGGAGCAACGCCGCGUGAGUGAUGAAGGUCUUCGGAUCGUAAAACUCUGUUAUUAGGGAAGAACAAAUGUGUAAGUAACUAUGCACGUCUUGACGGUACCUAAUCAGAAAGCCACGGCUAACUACGUG